UAUAGCUGGCGGUGGGCAGAUAUUUUCGCCAAUCCGGUCAGAUCUGAAAGGAAGCAGCCGUAACGAUAUAUAUCUGGGUCACCGUCAGUGCUAUUGCU
rnacentral:SRP_RNA from 2 species